rnacentral:rRNA from 1 species
UACGGAGGGGGCCAGCGUUGUUCGGAAUUAUUGGGCGUAAAGGGCUCGUAGGCGGCCAACUAAGUCCGACGUGAAAUCCCCAGGCUUAACCUGGGAACUGCGUCGGAUACUGGAUGGCUUGAAUCCGGGAGAGGGAUGCGGAAUUCCAGGUGUAGCGGUGAAAUGCGUAGAUAUCGUAAGGAGGACCAGUGGCGAAGGCGGGUCUCUGGACAGUUCCUGACGCUGAGGCACGAAGGCCAGGGGAGCAAACGGG